UCUGGGCACAGUGGUGCAUACCUAUAGUACCAGCCACUCAGGAGGCUGAGGCAGGAGGAUCACUUGAGUCACAGGAAUUCUGGGUUUUAGUGCAUUAUACCAAUUGGGUAUCUGCUUUAACUUCAGCAUUAGUGCAGUGACCCCUCAGAAGCAGGGGACCACCAGGUUGCCCAAGGAGGGUGAACCGGCCCGGGUAGCAAAUAGAGCAGAUCAAAUAACUCUCCUAUGCUGAUCAGUAGUGGGAUUGCACCUGUAAAAAGCCACUGCACUCCAGCCUGGACAACAUAGUGAAACCCGUCUCUU
ensembl:misc_RNA Metazoa_SRP Metazoan signal recognition particle RNA